rnacentral:lncRNA from 1 species
UAUCAAAGCUCAGCAAAGGGUAACAACAUCUGCAUCGUGUUGUUGCAUAAGCUUAUGCUUAAAAAUACUAGAAAAUAGUUGUGCACUCAUGAUUCUUUGGCUUGAAGCUGAAGCUGUCUUGGGUAGCUCAGUUUUUCCAUUUGUUGGAGUCCCAAGCCAGGAACCAGCCCGUGAAGGUUGGGGGCUCAUGCCCCUGCUUCACUAUAACGAUGGGGGUCCCCUUAUCUCUGCCAGAAGGGUCUGUUUCAAUAUAGCGUUUGGCAGAUUUAACGGAUUCCUGUCGUUCAGUUUCAUUAGCUUCUUUCCCAAUCCAGACAAAAACCUGCUCCCAAGCAUCUAGUAACAUGACAUCAUCUUCAGCCAAAUCAUCCUGAGUGAAUUCUCCUGGGACCUCCUCAAUAAUAAAUCUGCCGGUCUUAUUAGAACAACCAAACAGGCGAGGAGGAUGAUCUUCAGCCUUUGUCAAAAGCUGAGAUGAAGUCUGAUAUUUUUUUUUACCUCCAAGUGCUUUCCAGAAUUCCUCUGGUUCCUGGCCUUCAUUAAUCUUAGCAGUCUGGCACUUAAGAACACUGGCAAUGUAUUGAGCUCCUUGUUCCUCUUCUUUGUUUACUCCUUUUCCC